GGAGAGCAGAGCAAUCUGCCAAAUAAUUUGUUUAUUAAAAUAAUUAUUUUAUAAAUAAUUUAUAAAUUUUAUAAUUUGUUUAUAAAAUAAUUAAUUUUGGUUCUGUUUUCCUGGACAGCAUCAAUUACAUUCCUGAGCCAGGUGCUGGGACCUGCAGCCCCCAGAGCAGGAUAACAGAGUGGGCAGGGGCUGCAGGGGUGCACAGGCACUAAAACUGCUCAGGGGAGAAAAAAGUACACAGGGAAAUUUUGGAAGGGACUGGGGAAUUUUAUUUUCUGCAGGGCUAGAAGAACAAAGGCCUUGAGCAGUAAAUGCUGGUGACAAGAGCUGGCAGGACAGGAUGUGCUGCACUCCCCCAGCACCUCUGCUCCCUGUUGCAUCCCUUGAGUAACGAUGGUGACCUUCACCCUGAAGUCGUAUCCUGCCCCAGCCCCACCCCAGGCAGGAAUAAUCAAAGCAGAACCAAACAGGUUGGAGUUUAACGAGGAGGAAAAGCCUAAUUAUCCCAAAAGCUUUAAUUGAUAAAUGCAACAUCAAGGUGGCAGAAGCUCUGCUUCUACCAGUGCAGAGUUUGGUGUCAGCUCUUGCUCUGAGCCAAGGCUGCUGUUCAUGUGCUGGGCUUGCAGUGAAUCAAUCUUUGAUUUUAGGGGGCAGCCUGCAGCUGCUGGGCAGGGCUGUGUGAGUGUUCCUGGGGCUGCUGGAGGUGAGCUCAGCCCCUGCUGUCUCCAGCUCCAUCAUUCCCGCUGGGAUGGGGCUGGGAUGGGGCUGGGAUGGGGCUGGAUGCUCCAGCUCUGUGUGCCCACAGGCAGCACAGGGGUUAACUGGCCAAGGUAACAGCAGCCAUGCAGGAGCAGGGAGGUUGCUGUGCCAGCUCUCAGGCUCACUCAGCCCUGCCAAGAGGCACCAAAUGACACCAGCCCCAAGGCUCCUGACACUGCUUCACUCCAAAUUGCAGCUUUGCUCCCGCUUUGAGGUGUUUGUUCCUCCCAGGCUGGGAGAGAUGAGGGCUCCAGGAGGGAUGAACACACCUGGCACAGUGAGGAGCUGCUGUGACGGGCAAUCACACAUCAGGCGUUUCCUGAGCACAUCCUGCUGCUGGGAUUUGAUUCCCUGACGCAUUCGUGGUUUAUCUGUUUGUUUGGAGAGGUGCCAGACAAAAGAGACACAGAAAUUUAAAUAAAUGCAGGUUAUCUAGAAGACA
rnacentral:lncRNA from 1 species